rnacentral:rRNA from 1 species
AAUGAACGCUGGCGGCAGGCCUAACACAUGCAAGUCGAGCGAAGUCUUCGGACUUAGCGGCGGACGGGUGAGUAACGCGUGGGAACAUGCCCUUUGGUGCGGAAUAGCCCCGGGAAACUGGGAGUAAUACCGCAUGUGCCCUUCGGGGGAAAGAUUUAUCGCCUAAGGAUUGGCCCGCGUUGGAUCAGGUAGUUGGUGGGGUAAUGGCCUACCAAGCGGACGAUCCAUAGCUGGUUUGAGAGGAUGAUCAGCCACACUGGGACUGAGACACGGCCCAGACUCCUACGGGAGGCAGCAGUGGGGAAUCUUAGACAAGGGGCGCAAGCCUGAUCUAGCCAUGCCGCGUGAUCGAUGAAGGCCUUAGGGUUGUAAAGAUCUUUCAGUGGGGAAGAUAAUGACGGUACCCACAGAAGAAGCCCCGGCUAACUCCGUG